AUACGUAGGGGGCGAGCGUUGUCCGGAAUGAUUGGGCGUAAAGGGCGCGUAGGCGGCUUUGCAAGUCAGUAGUGGAAGUCCAUUUUUCAAGGAUGGAAGUGCUACAGAAACUGCGGAGCUUGAGUGCAGGAGAGGUUAUCGGAAUUCCCGGUGUAGCGGUGAAAUGCGUAGAGAUCGGGAGGAACACCAGUGGCGAAGGCGGGUAACUGGACUGCAACUGACGCUGAGGCGCGAAAGUGUGGGGAGCAAACAGGAUUAGAUACCCUGGUAGUCCACACUGUAAACGAUGAAUGCUAGGUGUAGGAGGUAUCGACCCCUUCUGUGCCGCAGUAAACACAGUAAGCAUUCCGCCUAGGGAGUACGGUCGCAAGAUUAAAACUCAAAGGAAUUGACGGGG
rnacentral:rRNA from 1 species